UGUUACCGACCGGAAUAAUGAGGCUAUAAGGAGUACCAGUACUGAGUCAAUGUGCAGGGUACCAGGUAGUUGAGGUAAUAAUGAGACUAUAAGGAGUACCAGUACUGAGUCAAUGUGCAGGGUACCAGGUAGUUGAGGUAAUAAUGAGACUAUAAGGAGAACCAGUACUGAGUCAAUGUGCAGGGUACCAGGUAGUUGAGGUAAUAAUGAGGCUAUAAGGAGUACCAGUACUGAGUCAAUGUGCAGGGUACCAGGUAGUUGAGGUAAUAAUGAGACUAUAAGGAGUACCAGUACUGAGUCAAUGUGCAGGGUACCAGGUAGUUGAGGUAAUAAUGAGACUAUAAGGAGUACCAGUACUGAGUCAAUGUGCAGGGUACCAGGUAGUUGAGGUAAUAAUGAGACUAUAAGGAGUACCAGUACUGAGUCAAUGUGCAGGGUACCAGGUAGUUGAGGUAAUAAUGAGACUAUAAGGAGUACCAGUACUGAGUCAAUGUGCAGGGUACCAGGUAGUUGAGGUAAUAAUGAGACUAUAAGGAGAACCAGUACUGAGUCAAUGUGCAGGGUACCAGGUAGUUGAGGUAAUAAUGAGACUAUAAGGAGUACCAGUACUGAGUCAAUGUGCAGGGUACCAGGUAGUUGAGGUAAUAAUGAGACUAUAAGGAGUACCAGUACUGAGUCAAUGUGCAGGGUACCAGGUAGUUGAGGUAAUAAUGAGACUAUAAGGAGUACCAGUACUGAGUCAAUGUGCAGGGUACCAGGUAGUUGAGGUAAUAAUGAGACUAUAAGGAGUACCAGUACUGAGUCAAUGUGCAGGGUACCAGGUAGUUGAGGUAAUAAUGAGACUAUAAGGAGUACCAGUACUGAGUCAAUGUGCAGGGUACCAGGUAGUUGAGGUAAUAAUGAGACUAUAAGGAGUACCAGUACUGAGUCAAUGUGCAGGUUACCAGGUAGUUGAGGUAAUAAUGAGACUAUAAGGAGUACCAGUACUGAGUCAAUGUGCAGGGUACCAGGUAGUUGAGGUAAUAAUGAGACUAUAAGGAGUACCAGUACUGAGUCAAUGUGCAGGUUACCAGGUAGUUGAGGUAAUAAUGAGACUAUAAGGAGUACCAGUACUGAGUCAAUGUGCAGGGUACCAGGUAGUUGAGGUAAUAAUGAGACUAUAAGGAGUACCAGUACUGAGUCAAUGUGCAGGUUACCAGGUAGUUGAGGUAAUAAUGAGACUAUAAGGAGUACCAGUACUGAGUCAAUGUGCAGGGUACCAGGUAGUUGAGGUAAUAAUGAGACUAUAAGGAGUACCAGUACUGAGUCAAUGUGCAGGGUACCAGGUAGUUGAGGUAAUAAUGAGACUAUAAGGAGUACCAGUACUGAGUCAAUGUGCAGGGUACCAGGUAGUUGAGGUAAUAAUGAGACUAUAAGGAGUACCAGUACUGAGUCAAUGUGCAGGGUACCAGGUAGUUGAGGUAAUAAUGAGACUAUAAGGAGUACCAGUACUGAGUCAAUGUGCAGGGUACCAGGUAGUUGAGGUAAUAAUGAGACUAUAAGGAGUACCAGUACUGAGUCAAUGUGCAGGUUACCAGGUAGUUGAGGUAAUAAUGAGACUAUAAGGAGUACCAGUACUGAGUCAAUGUGCAGGGUACCAGGUAGUUGAGGUAAUAAUGAGACUAUAAGGAGUACCAGUACUGAGUCAAUGUGCAGGGUACCAGGGAGUUGAGGUAAUAAUGAGACUAUAAGGAGUACCAGUACUGAGUCAAUGUGCAGGGUACCAGGUAGUUGAGGUAAUAAUGAGACUAUAAGGAGUACCAGUACUGAGUCAAUGUGCAGGGUACCAGGUAGUUGAGGUAAUAAUGAGACUAUAAGGAGUACCAGUACUGAGUCAAUGUGCAGGGUACCAGGUAGUUGAGGUAAUAAUGAGACUAUAAGGAGUACCAGUACUGAGUCAAUGUGCAGGGUACCAGGUAGUUGAGGUAAUAAUGAGACUAUAAGGAGUACCAGUACUGAGUCAAUGUGCAGGGUACCAGGUAGUUGAGGUAAUAAUGAGACUAUAAGGAGUACCAGUACUGAGUCAAUGUGCAGGGUACCAGGUAGUUGAGGUAAUAUGUACAUGUAGUUCGGGGAAAAAGUGACUAGGCAAUCAGGAUGGAGGUUACAUCUCCUCACCCAGGGAGCUCACACAC